GUAACACGCGCCUGAAUGUGCAUAGUUAAGUUGAGUUCUGCCCUCCUCACUACACUCGCAGAACAUGGAGGAUUGGAGGAUGAUUUGGUACUUUCCCACUUACACUCCACAACACAACGCUUCUUUCCCCUUUCGCUCUCACUGCUUUCACACAUUUUCCCUCUGCUGCAUCUUCCUUUGCGUAACAUAGCCAUAUUCGCGCGCCAACCACCUUCCUCUUAUUAAUUCUCCGGCAGUGUAGCCAACUCUCCCGUUCUCUCUCUCUCUCUCUCUCUCUCUCAUUCGAAUCUGGGAGAUGAGGUUGUUAUCGAAUUCGAUUCUUAACCUCCUCCUUCUCUGCGACCUGCUUCUCUUUUGUCCCUCAUUCUUCUCUCUCGUCUCUGCUGAGUCGGAGUCGGAGCCGGAGCUUCUCCUCCGAGGAACCAACGCAACCGCCACCGGCAAUGCCUCGCUUGCGAGAUCCGGCGAGGAUAGCUUCGCCAACAUGAUUGAUCGGGCGCUCGAGAGAGAGUUCCCCGAGAAUGAACAGAAUGAAGGUAAUGAUGCUGGCGGUUUUAACAAUAGUGUUGCUGAACAGCAGGCUGUUUUGGAAACUGUUGCUAGAGUUAAGUCCAAGAAAAAUGAGAGCAAAGAAGAAAAAUCAUUUCAUAUUCAUGAUGUUUUCCAUUUGGAUACUGAGAAUCGUGCAGAGGAUAUGCCAACCUUAAUUGAUCGAAAGGAUAACGUGUUUAUCAUCUCCAAUCCCAAGUCAAAGUAUCCUGUUCUUCAAGUAGACUUGAGAUUGAUAUCAGAUCUUGUGGUUGUCAUUGUUUCUGCAACAUGUGGUGGCAUUGCCUUUGCUUGUGCUGGACAACCGGUUAUGACAGGAUAUCUGUUGGCAGGAUCACUCAUUGGACCUGGUGGCUUGAGUUUUGUUAGUGAAAUGGUCCAAGUUGAGACUGUUGCUCAAUUUGGUGUUAUCUUUUUGCUUUUUGCAUUGGGAUUAGAAUUUUCAACAACAAAGCUUCGAGUUGUUCGAGCGGUGGCUAUUCUUGGCGGUCUACUUCAAAUUUUCUUAUUUAUGUGCUUGUGUGGAAUAACAGCUACGCUAUGUGGUGGUAAAUCAUCUGAAGGAAUAUUUGUGGGUGCAUUUCUUUCUAUGUCUUCAACAGCUGUGGUCUUGAAAUUCUUGAUGGAAAGGAAUAGUGUCAAUGCCCUUCAUGGUCAGGUUACAAUUGGAACACUGAUUCUGCAGGAUUGUGCUGUUGGUUUGCUCUUUGCAUUGCUUCCAGUAUUGGGUGGAACAUCAGGUGUUCUUCAGGGAGUAAUAUCCAUGACUAAAUCGUUGGUCAUCUUAAUUGCAUUUUUGGCCAUUUUGUCGAUAGUAUCUCGUACUUGUGUACCAUGGUUUCUUAGGCUUAUGAUAAGCCUAUCAUCUCAGACCAAUGAACUUUAUCAAUUGGCAUCAGUGGCAUUCUGCCUACUUGUGGCUUGGUGUAGUGAUAAGUUGGGUUUAAGUCUCGAACUUGGUUCCUUUGCUGCGGGCGUGAUGAUAUCAACAACAGAUCUUGGUCAACAUACACUAGAACAAGUUGAGCCAAUUCGCAACUUUUUUGCCGCACUGUUCUUGGCCAGCAUUGGGAUGCUUAUACAUGUCCAUUUUCUUUGGAAUCAUGUUGACAUCUUAUUGGCAGCUGUUAUACUGGUGAUCAUCAUAAAGACAAUUGUAGCUGCAUGUGUUGUCAAGGGGUUUGGUUACAACAACAAGACUUCACUUCUUGUUAUUCUACAUGUGUAGGUUGGGAUGUCUUUGGCACAAAUUGGGGAGUUCGCCUUUGUUCUUCUCAGUCGUGCUUCAAAUCUUCAUCUAGUGGAGGUGAUUGCUUCAUCACGAAUGUUGGUUUGAGCUUCUUUGUGCUUAUGGUUAGGCUUAGGAAGACAAUGAACCUUUUCUUCCUACAUAGUUGGAGACAACUUUAGCACUUUUCGUGGCUGUGUUAUUACCAUUUGAAGCAUGAACUUUAUUAUUUUGUUGCCUAUAAAUACUUGUAUGCAACUGAACUGAUCCUUACUGCAGGGAAAGUUGUAUCUAUUACUCCUUGGAACAACGGCUCUCAGUCUGGUAUGCAUCAACUAUUUGACAGAAUGAUAGUUUUACAUAGUAUUCUAAUAAAAUAUUGUUGAUUUAUUGUUCUUUCAAGCAAUCCCAAUGUGUUCAUCUGUCAUGAGGUCAAAUUAGUAUGUUUCUUUAGGUACAUAACUAUAUUAUAUUCAUUUUGUUGAUCAUUUGACAAUCAUAAACAUCUAUAAGCAGGGUAUCAUUAGUAACUUUCGAAAGUUUCAUUAGACUAUGACUUGGAAGUAAUACAUUGGGUCUUCCUGUGUAAGAAUUCUUAUUCUAAAGUUGAACAUUAUAGCCAAUUUCUUGGGUAAUCUUAUAAAGAUUUGAUUAUGAAUUCUCAGGUAUUUUUAGUUGAUUAUGUUAUUCCUAGAAAUUUUGAAGCUUAUGCUGGUGGAAAUAAUGCAGGUGACUACACCUCUGCUUUUCAAGUUAAUUCCUGCCGUGGUGCAUCUUGGUGCUUUGCUGCGGUGGUUCCCUCCUGAUAGUCCAUCUGAGAUUCCCUAUAAGGGGGACAGCUUUCGGUCAGACAGUGCUAAGCGUGUUACUUUGUUGGUUCAAGGCUCUCAUAAUUCAUGAUGUUAAAAUAGAUCAGAAAUGCAAUUUGCGGCUUUAUCAGAUCGCUUGUACUUUUGAGGAAGACAGGAAAAAUAGUGCAAAUGAGUUUGUCCAAGAGAAUACAUUUGCCAUUGUAAAGGAAUACAUAUAUAUACUGCAUGCCUUUCGGACCAGUCUCAGGAGACGAUCAAUGCCAAACGCUGCUGGGAGAGAGGGUCACGAGUUUGAACCGGAUCCAUUCACUAACAUGGUAACUUGGGCCAUAUUGUUAUUAACUAGGGUGGCCUAAUUUUGUGUAUAAAUUAAUGUCCAGUCGCUUUUAGUAGGGGCAAUUCAUUUUAGGUGCAUUCCUUUUUUUUCUUCUCCACAUUAUUUUUCUGUUUCUUUAAUCCAAAUUUUGGGUUGAUCGGUUUUCAAAUAUGUAUAAGUUGUUCUGUAAAAGUCUAGAAAUCAAGGCAAUCAUCAAAUUCAAAUGUAUCAUGUUGCGAUCCCUGGA